AACGAACGCUGGCGGCGCGUCUUAAGCAUGCAAGUCGGACGGCAAGGGUAGCAAUACCCCUAGAGUGGCGGACUGGUGAGUAACGCGUGGGUGACCUGCCCUUGAGUUGGGGAUAGCCAUUAGAAAUAGUGGAUAAUACCGAAUACGAUCGCUGUCACUGUGGUGAUGCGAUGAAAGGAGCUACGGCUCCGCUCGAGGAUGGGCCCGCGUCCCAUUAGCUAGUUGGUGAGGUAACGGCCCACCAAGGCGACGAUGGGUAUCCGGCCUGAGAGGGUGUACGGACACAUUGGGACUGAGAUACGGCCCAAACUCCUACGGGAGGCAGCAGCUAAGAAUAUUCCGCAAUGGACGAAAGUCUGACGGAGCGACGCCGCGUGGAUGAAGAAGGCCGAAAGGUUGUAAAAUCCUUUUGCUGAUGAAGAAUAAGUGGAGUAGGGAAUGAUUCCAUGAUGACAUUAGUCGGUGAAUAAGCCCCGGCUAACUACGUGCCAGCAGCCGCGGUAACACGUAGGGGGCAAGCGUUGUUCGGAAUUACUGGGCGUAAAGG
rnacentral:rRNA from 1 species